UGAGUACGAGAUGCUACGGCAUCGAAGCAGUCUAUGUCAUACUUCCAAGAAAAGCUUGCACUGUCAGAAACAGAUAAUGCCUGUACCAUAACCGACACAGGUGGGUAGGUAGAGUAUACUAAGGGGCGCGAGAUAACUCUCUCUAAGGAACUCGGCAAAAUGACUCCGUAACUUCGGGAGAAGGAGUGCCUUAUUUUUAAGGUUGCAAUAACAAGAUCCAAGCAACUGUUUACCAAAAACACAGGUCUCCGCUAAGUCGUAAGACGAUGUAUGGGGGCUGACGCCUGCCCAGUGCCAGAAGGUUAAAGAAGUCGGUUAGCAUUCGCGAAGCUGGUAACUGAAGCCCUGGUGAACGGCGGCCGUAACUAUAACGGUCCUAAGGUAGCGAAAUUCCUUGUCGGGUAAGUUCCGACCCGCACGAAAGGCGUAAUGAUUUGGAUACUGUCUCGGAGAGGGGCUCGGUGAAAUAGACUUGUCUGUGAAGAUGCGGACUACCUGCACCUGGACAGAAAGACCCUAUGAAGCUUUACUGUAACUUGAAAUUGAAAUUGGACUUUAUUUGCGCAGUAUAGGUGGGAGGCGUUGAAAAUAUUCUUGCGGGAAUAUUGGAGCCAUCAGUGAGAUACCACUCUUGUAAUGUUAGAUUUCUAACUUUAUAUCAUUAUCUGGUUAAAGAACAGUUUCAGGCGGGCAGUUUGACUGGGGCGGUCGCCUCCCAAAUGGUAACGGAGGCGCACAAAGGUUUCCUCUGAACGGGUAGAAAUCGUAUCUAGAGUGUAAAGGCAUAAGGAAGCUUGACUGUGAGACCUACAAGUCGAGCAGGGACGAAAGUCGGUCUUAGUGAUCUGACGGUGCUGAGUGGAAAGGCCGUCACUCAACGGAUAAAAGUUACUCUAAGGAUAACAGGCUGAUCUCCCCCAAGAGUUCACAUCGACGGGGAGGUUUGGCACCUCGAUGUCGGCUCAUCGCAUCCUGGGGCGGUAGUACGUCCCAAGGGUUGGGCUGUUCGCCCAUGAAAGCGGUACGCGAGCUGGGUUCAGAACGUCGUGAGACAGUUCGGUCCAUAUCCGGUGUAGGCGUUAGAAUAUUGAGAGGAGCCUUCUUUAGUACGAGAGGACCGAGAAGGACAUACCUCUGGUGUACCAGUUAUCGUGCCAACGGUAAACGCUGGGUAGCUAUGUAUGGAGUGGAUAACCGCUGAAAGCAUCUAAGUGGGAAGCCCACCUCAAGAUAAGUAUUCUCAUC
rnacentral:rRNA from 1 species